GAGCACAAAACCAACUGUGCCUUUGGUCCGGCACAGCUGUAUCUAACCAUUGAGGAGUUUGGGUGGUUUGAGCAGUGGCUGAUGAUCCGUGAGCAACUGAAUCCAACCACAGAUUUUGUCUUCUUCACGGAAAACCACACGACGAUCCAUAAACUGCUCACCCACAUGCAACUAGCCUGGGCAGACAUGGGUCUACCAGGCACCCCGACAUUCACGGACUUCCGGACCUCUAUAGCGACCUAUGCCAGGAACAUCCUCUCCCCCAAUGCCCGCCAGAAAAUGACACCUCAACCGUAGACAAAUAUUAUGCACUUCACCUCACCACUGCACAACUGGCCCGCAUCAGAGAAACUUUGAGCUGGCCAUCAAACCAGUGCAAACAUUGUCCCCAUUGAAAGAGGAAACGCCGAUGCUGACUUUGUCAGAGUCCUCCAGUGACAGUAGUGCGGAGCCCCCUCAGCAAAAUAAACCACAGCUGGAGGAACUCAGUUCUACGGACAUUCUACGCACAUCAGGAACCACCACAGACGAAGAGUCCACCAGCCCAGAGUCCGGGUCACCUCCCACCCUGCAUUCUCCAGGCAGGACCCCCCCCCCCCCCCAAAUUAAAAGAAAGAGUGUCAGUCCGCAAUUGAGGUACAGGUUAAGACAGCGGCAACUUAGAUCAACCCCUCAAAGGCGCAUGUUACGUGUAAGGAAGCCUCUUAAAAAAUAGUUUAUAUAUUUUAUUUACUAUACUUUGUUUCUACUUAAAAAAGUAGAAUUAAAAAUAAUUGCAAUAUGUAAAUAUACUACUUUGUUGUGACCACGCUUAGCACAUCUUUAGUUCUUUAAAUGUAAGUUUUUUGGUUUGCUGUGUUUUUUG